CUGGACAGAGACCCUCAGACACACAGGUGCUUGGGUAGGAAGCCAUCAGUGCCCCCAAAAAUUGUCCAGCAAAGACACAGAUGAGGUUGGGGCUAGGCUGAGUGCCUUUGGGCAUGUGUUGACAUACAGCUUUUUUGGGUUUUAUUUCAGGUGAAAUGAACUCUUAGGAAACCACUGAUGGAUUCAUCAAGAAGCCCUAAACCUUGGAAAAGCCAAGAGACCAGAGGUCUCACCUUAAAGGUAUCUGGUCCUUCGACCUCACCGUGACCCAGCUUCUUCAGGAGAACAUUCCAGAAGCAGAGCAAGGGGCUGCGAACGGUGUGCAAUGCUUCCUGAACCACCUCAUGGCCCUCCAUCCACUUCGUCUGGGUCAUGCUGGCUCUGCGGCCAUGGCAUUUCAGCGUCUCGUCUUCAUCUUCAUCCUAUUUGUAACCAUGGGGCACAUGCUGUAUUUUUUUUUUUUUAAUGCAAGAAAGUGUAAGAUUAGAAACGCCCAUGUUCAGAAGACAGCAAAGAAGGGAGCUUUAACCUGACAGAGAUGGAACAGAGGAGAUCAGAAAGAAUAGACAAUAAUGGCCACUCAUCCUGCUUCCAGUAUGAAGAUUCCCCUACAUCUAGCAUGGACAGAAGUGUUGACAGAGGGAGGAGUUUUGGCAGAACAACAGAAGUCAAGUACGGCAAUGGCAAAGAAAAAGCCAACUACUAAGCCUGUCUGUCUACCACAUUACUUUAUUGGCUUCCAAAUAAACCCAAUCCUAGGGGACAAAAGAUGUGAAUCCAUAUCAGAAGAGAGAGGCAGUUCUGGAUUCCUGAGGUAUUCAUUGAAGACUGAGUAAGUGUGGAGUUUCCAUCGUGGCUCAGUGGUAAUGAAUCCGACUAGUAUCCAUGAGGACCCAAAUUCGAUCUCUGCCCUCACUCAGUGGAUUAAGGAUCCAGUGUUGCUAUGAGCAGUGGUGUAAGGUUGCAGAUGCAGCUUGGAUCUUGCAUAGGCCAGCAGCUGCACCUCUUUAUUGGACUCCUGCAUGUGCUACAGGUGCAGCUCUAAAAAGCAAAACCAAAACCAAAAAAAGAGAGACUGAGUAGGUGGUCCCUGUGUCAACUGGAAAGUCAACCUCCUUACCCCCCACAGUCAAGGUCAGCCAAGGCCCCUUUAAUCUUCUUCUUUCAUGUGUGCAACCAUCAAGAAUGGGCCAGGACCCAGUGGUUCCCUUAGAUUCCUUUGAGACAUUGGGGGUAUUCCCCUUCCAGUGGCCCUCCUUAGGGCAGCUGCAUGCUGAUUGGCUUUGAGCCCUUCUGUUCACGUUAGGGGGUGGGGGUUGAAUGACCCUGAAUCACUGAGGCCAGAAUACUGGCAGAUCAGGCCGCUUGUCCAUCUUCCUUGGCAUCCACCUCCAGAUCCCAGUUGUUGAAUACUGGAAACACUAACUCCACCCCUGGGAAGUAGGUGUGGUGGGUUUUAUCUCCAACUUCUAUAAUUUUCUCCCAAUGUCUGGGGUGCUCUGGGAAGUGAAAUGGGACUUAAGAAUGGUCUGCCCUUCCACUGGCUCCAGGUGGCUCUUGUUCGUGUACACACAAAGGCACUCCCUUAGGCAUUCUAGGAAAGCCAAGGGGUUUCCUGCAGACCCUUGAUGACUCCCUAAACCCUACUCCAAUUUAUGGGUUUCUUCCCAGCCCACUGCAUGCCGUUAAGGAUCACAUCCCUGAAAUGUGUGAGAUGCUGCUGACCAUGUUCCUCUCAACGGUCCCAACCCAGGGUCCAGGUCAGGAACAGCCCAGAUUCAAGGCUGGCAUAGAGCAUGUCCUGCAUUAUUUUGAUUGGCCUUAUCAGCUUCCUCCCUGGCAACAGUCAGAACCAGUGCCUUUUCUUCCCCUGAGGAUAGGAUGUUCAGGAAGGUUUCUGCCCAAGUGGGGAAAGGAGUGUGGACUAUUCGCUGGAGUAAAUUAAGGACUUCCUGGAGGAUUUCCCUCAAACCCUUAGAUCCAUCCUUACAGUUGUAUAGGUUUGGGAGGAGAAGGGUUCAUACAGUGGGGGUCAGUCUGCCCUCUCCAUUGGGGAUCUCCCAAAAAGGGAAGAGCAUGUCGAUUCCAGGGGGCUGGUACUAAGUGCCACUUGAGGUUUGCUUUGGACUACUCCCUGAGGGAGGCACGCUGAGAGAUGAAGGGAGGGAAGUCAGGGAAGGGACCAGGGUACCAGGUAGGAUAGGGGUGAACUGGAGGGAGGAAAAAGUAUCAGGGAACUAGGGAAGGUUGGGGGGUAAAUGAGGUAGGAGUCUCUGGUGAACUGCCAAAAGGGAGCAGCUCCUCAUGGCAGAGGGAGGAAGUCAUGGGGCUCUUCAGGCUGAGGUUCCAAUCCAGGAGAGAGAAAUUGCAAAAAGCCUCAUGCUUUCAUGAAUAAUUGGACAUAGGGGAUCUCAACCCAUUUUCUUCAAAGGCUGGCAGUAGAGGUCCAGCUGAAAAAUGGACCUCUACUGCCUUUAUAUGUUGUUGGAUUCAGUUGGCUAAAAUUUUGUUGAGAAUUUUUGUGUCUGUAUUCAUCAAAAUAAUGGCCUAUAGUUUUCUUUUUUGGUAGUAUCUUUGUCUGAUUUUAGUAUUAGAGUGAUUGUAGUGUCAUAGAAUGUCUUUGGGAGUAUUCUUUCACCUUUUGGAAAAGUUUAAGGAGGAUGGGUCUAAGCUCUAUAGUUUUCUUUUGGUAGAAUUCACCUGUGAAGCCAUCUAGUCCUGAACUUUUAUUUGUAGGGAGUGUUUUUAUUACAUACUCAAUUUCAUUUCUAGUGUUUGGUCUAUUCAGUUGAUCUAUUUCUUCUUGAUUCAGUUUUUGUGGGCUGUACAUCUCUAGAAAGUUGUCCUCUUCUUCUAGGUUGUCAAAUUUGUUGCCAUAUAACUGUUCAUAGGGGUGCUGUAAAAGAGAAGAAGCUGUGUUAGUAAGUCGUUAUUUCCAGUUAUGGAGGAUGCAUCCUGGGACAGAGGCUUGGUUACCCCUAUGGGGUAUUUUUAGUUUGUUUCCAGCUUCCCAAUGGCCUCCUCCUAGGGUUGGUUGUGAUGCAGAUCCCAUAACAUCUAGGACACACCAAGUGGUCUAGGCACCCUCACUGAAACAUGAACCAAUCUUUAUGGGGGCUGUGAGGGGAAAUGCUAAGAGGGUCCGAGUUAUAAGGUCCCCUCUUAAGUCACUGAUUAGAUGUUCCCAGACCCACUGUGGGGCUUUGGAGAUACCUAGUAUAAGGGGGUGCAGUCCCUGGAGGUAGGGUGAAGGAGGGGGUGUGAAAUAGGGUUCUCUGGCCAAACAAAUGCCGGGAGAGCGUCUGUGGCAGUCGAGACUUGU
rnacentral:lncRNA from 1 species